rnacentral:lncRNA from 1 species
GGCAGGGCCAGGGCAGCACCGAGGCUCGCGGGCGCAGCCGGGCGCCCGGGCUGCUACAGCUACCCCCUGCGCUCCCCCACCCGCGCCCUCCACCCCACGUCUACUUCCGGCGCCUUCCAAAUUUGGAAGGCCCCCUAGGCCCCUAAUCCGCCCUCCCCCGUUCCGGGGCAACCUAUAAUAUUUCGGUUGCGUCACCCCGUUUCGUGCGUCACUAGGGAGGGCUUCCGUACUCUCCACCGGAUACACGUUUAAAAAAGGGUCAGGUGACUUUCGGCCUUUGGCGACCGCCGGGGGGGGGGGAGGGGGGACGGAACUAAACCUUGGUGGACCAAUGAGAACCGCUACGGCUGAGGAGUGGGGUGCGCAGGCGCCAGGGUUUGCGGAAGUAGGAGGGCAUCAAGUAGAGUUUGAAUGACCACUUGGAGAUGCAAUAGAGAAGACUGUAGGGUUAAAAUUGUAUCAUGUCCCAACCCACUAAUCAAUCACCCUCCAACUCAGUAUGUUGGGAGUGAGGCUGGACCCUGCCCAUGACACAAGGAUGUAGAGCCUCACCAGCUAGGAGACUCUGGACAAAUCAUUUUUACCCUGGGAAAGUAAAACUCUACUUAUUUCAAGAGACCCGUAUAAAUGGAGAUGUUGAGCCUUUGGACUUCAUCCCUGAGAAGUCCCUUAGUAUUUUCCAAAAUUCCAUUUUCCUGUGUCCCUGUGUUUUGUGUGAUUGUAUUUAAGUGACUGUAACUCCUUCUUCUCUCUCUUUUUGGACCUGUGACCGGGUUGAAUUGAGGCAGUUCUUUUACCCUAGUUAUUAUU